AAUAGUCUGCGCUCCCAUUAGGCUAAACAGGAAACCCAGCCAAUUAGCUGUUUAUUCAGAAGCCGACUUCCAGGGUCAGGCCUAGGAGAGAGAGCACUUCCCGGACGGCCAUUGGGCAGACGGAUCGGAGCAGUAUGAACGAGGCGGGCAGGUGGCCGCUGACACACACGAGGCCAAACAAGCUGCUUUUGGUUGCGGGUCAUUGCAUGUAUGCUGGAGUUGUGAAGUGUGGUGCACAGCAGCAGCAGCAGCAGCAGCGGCAGCGGCGGCAGAAGCAGAAGCUUUCCAGAUCACAGCCUAGUGCAGAAGUCCAAACCGCAACCAGAAGGUCGAAAAGCCAAACACAAGAUGAUCACCUCCCUGCUGCCACUACAGCCUCUUCCCACAUUUAGUAAACAUGCCAGGUUAUAUGAAGACUACAAAUUGUCCAUAGGUGUGAAGAAUGGACUGAGAGGGAGCACAAGCAGGGAUCUCCCAGACUGUAAAGUGGCUGUGUCAUCGUUGAUGCAAUAAGUACUUUUGAAGAGGCCUCCAGACCAUGCCGCACUAUUCAGCGUUUGAGUACGUCCAAAUUGCUUAACCUUUUCGUUGUCAAAAUACAACCUGAGCCUAUGAUGCCGAUAGCCCCCUUCAAUCCUGAGUUCAUCAUCUGAGGGUCACUGUGCUCAAUGCAAAAAAGAGACUAAAUGCCCUUGAGCACAACAGGCACUUUAGAAGCAAAUGCAUGUCAAGAUUUGUCAUCAUUGUCCCUGAGCCACCACCAGAGAACACUGCCUGACUGCGAGGUUCGUUUAAUACUUGUCAUGGGAAGGAGCAUCCAUGUAAUUGCACGCAAAAUAUUUUUUGUCUUGGUCGACGAUGAUGGAGUGAGUCAGAACUCUGAGAGACCGCAUUGAGGGGUGGAAGAGAUUAUUAACUCGCAUCCUGAAGUGGAAAAAACGACUACAUAACUUCAAAAGCAAACUAAAUGGAAGACAGUGGCGCAAGAAACAAAAAAACUCAACCAAGGUGGAGCAGCUGCAAAAAAGUAAAGACAAACAAACAAAACUACAACAUCAAAUGUCAUACUUUGAGUUGUUUACAAAAGUUGCACAAAUAGUUUGCUCUAGAAGCCAUUCGAUUUUCAGAAAGCUCUGAGAUGUGGAUAAAGGUUUUUAAUUUCCCUUUUUGUUGUUAUAGUUCACUUUGCUUGACUUCACUAGUGUAACCUUGAGAUUCACUAUAAGGAGUGCACGCCCGCAUUUGCUAUGUGCAUCCCGCUAUUAUAAAGCACGCUGGAUUGUGCUCAAUUUAGCAGACGGCGCUAUAGGCAGCGAGGCUGUGUGGUUUGUGGUCUGCAGAUUUACAUUCAUGUGUGACCCUAUCAGAUGUAGAAAUGUGGAAAGUGUGCAAUUUUAACUCCGAGAGUGUAUGUGUGUGUGUUCACGAGUGGUCCAAAUGCUACUGGUCUAAAAUUAAAGCCAGGGUUUUAGAAACGUCUCUAAUUAAGGUGGGGAGGACCGAACGGCUAUUUUGAGAGCUGCGGCCACGCACGCCCUUGCCACAUAAGUGUGUGUGUUUGUGUGUGUUCAGGCAAACCGAGGCCAUGAAUACACACGCACACACAUACACGCACACAAACACACGAGGGAAGGUCUCCUACUUGGCAUUAGUCGUAUUAGACAACGUGUGCAUGAGGAGUUUUACCAAAGAUGGCCAAGUCGAGAGGCCUGCCUGAAAAAAUAGCUGCCAUGAAUAUUAACAGUUGAAAUUCCGCUACAUGAUAAAAAGUCAGAGACAAACCAAAGCGGAAUGUUUAUGACUGGCUCUCACGAACGCAAUAGUCAUCUUAGCCACGGUGUUAAGUGUUUUUACAUCUCUAAUGAGGCAAUUUGGUGAAUUUAGCAUCUUGAACCCGCGAGUGGAAUGCGGUGCGGACGCCUGGUCACACAUUGUCUCAUUGUUUGGUCUCAUAAGCAGCCUCUGUGUUCUGCUCGUGAGCAAAGCCCGCUGCUGGGAAAUGUUGCGUGUACAAAAGAGCGAAACAAUUUAUCCCACUUUCUCUAUGAAGCAUUUGUGACCACAUUGUGCCUGGGGUAUUGUUUUUAGAUUUUGUGAUUAGCACAACAAGACAGCAAAAACCAAAACACAACUUCAUCACUUUGACUGAUUGAGUCACUGAUUGAGCCAUUCUUUUUUAAUGGGGACUAUUGAUUAUAUCGCUUAAUAGUGUAGUUUGAAAUUCAAUAAUGUAACGCCAUUUACUUUCAUUGUGUUUGAGUACAACUAAGAAAAUGUUCUUAUAUUUAACAAUAAAGGUGCCUUGGCUGGCACAGCCAAAGUCAGUUGGAAUUGGCACGACCCCAGGUGCUGUAGAAAAUGGAUGGAUGUAUUGAAUAUAAUGGAAUUACACAGUACAAUCCAGAAAAUAAGACAAAACAUUGAAAAGGUUAUAUAUCUUACCCCAAAAAUCUACAAGUGAAUUUCAAUGAGGGCUGGCGUCGAUGAUCUUACUAUGAAAAGGGCUCCAGCCACUUUUAACAACACACUCAUGAUUUUGGUCAGUGGGAGGAAGUCCUAAGAAAAAUAUGCAUGCAUGGGAACAGUCACACUGUACAAUGCAAACCUCUUGACCACCAUGCUGCAGAAAGAAUUAUGGUGAGAGGUGUUUGUGUGGUUCUACAACUUUUGGAAUGAGAGACCGGAGAUUGCAAUGUUGAUUUUCAUGCAAUCAGAUACUUCCAUAAACUGAAAUGUAGCUAUUUAUGAUUAAGGAGUUACCUAAACAAUGUAUGUUUUCAUUUUCCAGUGACUUCUUUUUAAUUGGAUGAUCCAGAGAGCGAUAUUUAUUUUUCCUUCGUCUCUUUGAAACUCUGCCGUUGUAAUUAACGUGGCCGUUGGCUCGCACCCUGCUCUCAAUGUGCAAAAUGUAGCCGACCUCGUUGAAAGAAACGCGGUGAUCUCACUGCACAUUAAAUCCCUUUACAAUAGCUCUUUGUUAGUUUCCGAAAAUAAAUCAUUUGUAUGUUCGCCAUUA